rnacentral:rRNA from 1 species
UACAGAGGUCCCAAGCGUUGUUCGGAUUCACUGGGCGUAAAAGGUGCGUAGGUGGUUAGGUAAGUCCGAUGUGAAAUCUCCAGGCUCAACCUGGAAAUGGCAUUGGAUACUAUUUAGCUUGAGGAGUGGAGGGGGGACUGGAAUUCUCGGUGUAGCAGUGAAAUGCGUAGAUAUCGAGAGGAACACCAGUGGCGAAGGCGAGUCCCUGGACACUUCCUGACACUGAGGCACGAAAGCUAGGGGAGCAAACAGG